UACGAAGGGGGCUAGCGUUGCUCGGAAUCACUGGGCGUAAAGGGCGCGUAGGCGGCCAUUCAAGUCGGGGGUGAAAGCCCAGGGCUCAACCCUGGAAUUGCCUUCGAUACUGUUUGGCUAGAGACCGGAAGAGGUAAGUGGAACUGCGAGUGUAGAGGUGAAAUUCGUAGAUAUUCGCAAGAACACCAGUGGCGAAGGCGGCUUACUGGUCCGGUUCUGACGCUGAGGCGCGAAAGCGUGGGGAGCGAUCCGG
rnacentral:rRNA from 1 species